AGAGUUUGAUCCUGGCUCAGGACGAACGCUGGCGGCGUGCUUAACACAUGCAAGUCGAGCGGAAAGGCCCUUCGGGGUACUCGAGCGGCGAACGGGUGAGUAACACGUGAGUAACCUGCCCCUAGCUCUGGGAUAGCUCCGGGAAACCGGGAUUAAUACCAGAUACAACCACUUUAGACAUCUGUCGUGGUGGAAAGGAUUCCGGCUAGGGAUGGGCUCGCGGCCUAUCAGCUUGUUGGUGGGGUAACGGCCUACCAAGGCGACGACGGGUAGCCGGCCUGAGAGGGCGACCGGCCACACUGGGACUGAGACACGGCCCAGACUCCUACGGGAGGCAGCAGUGGGGAAUAUUGCGCAAUGGGCGAAAGCCUGACGCAGCGACGCCGCGUGGGGGAUGAAGGCCUUCGGGUUGUAAACCCCUUCAGCAGGGACG
rnacentral:rRNA from 1 species